AUCAGCCCGCGUUAGAUUAGGUAGUUGGUGGGGUAAUGGCCUACCAAGCCUACGAUCUAUAGCUGGUUUUAGAGGAUGAUCAGCCACACUGGGACUGAGACACGGCCCAGACUCCUACGGGAGGCAGCAGUAGGGAAUCUUGGACAAUGGGGGAAACCCUGAUCCAGCCAUGCCGCGUGAGUGAAGAAGGCCCUAGGGUCGUAAAGCUCUUUCGCCUGUGAUGAUAAUGACAGUAGCAGGUAAAGAAACCCCGGCUAACUCCGUGCCAGCAGCCGCGGUAAUACGGAGGGGGUUAGCGUUGUUCGGAAUUACUGGGCGUAAAGCGCGCGUAGGCGGAUUGGAAAGUUGGGGGUGAAAUCCCGGGGCUCAACCCCGGAACUGCCUUCAAAACUCCCAGUCUAGAGUUCGAGAGAGGUGAGUGGAAUUCCGAGUGUAGAGGUGAAAUUCGUAGAUAUUCGGAAGUACACCAGUGGCGAAGGCGGCUCACUGGCUCGAUACUGACGCUGAGGUGCGAAAGUGUGGGGGAGCAAACAGGAUUAGAUACCCUGGGUAGUCCACACCGUAAACGAUGAAUGCCAGUCGUCGGAUAGUAUACUAUUCGGUGACACACCUAACGGAUUAAGCAUUCCGCCUGGGGGAGUACGGUCGCAAGAUUAAAACUCAAAGGAAUUGACGGGGCCCGCACAAGCGGUGGAGCAUGUGGUUU
rnacentral:rRNA from 1 species